rnacentral:lncRNA from 1 species
GUCUCCUUCUCCAGCCUCCCUCCCCAAGUUUGCUAAGGGUGCUUAUUUUAACCCGGUUUUGGUUACAAACACCCCCUCCCUCCCUCGCUCGCUCUCUCCCGUCAGGCUCUGGUUACCAGAUCCGCGUUUACUUUCGAAAAAUCUAAGAUCGCCACAUCCGAGGACACAUGUCUUAAGGAGGCGAUGAGCUUUCCGGGUUUUUUUGUAAAAAAUGUUCUUUAUGUAGUUUUCUUUUAAAAGCCAGCGUUUCGGAGCAAGCCCCGGCGCCCCACUUUGGAGAAGUCGGGGUGAAGCCCCCCGGAACACCCUCGCUCUGGCAGAGAAGCUGGCUCUGGCUCGGCCAUCUGCGGGCUCCGCCGCGUCCUCCCUACUUUUCUCCCCCUCUUAAAUGCAGUUAAAAUGGCUGAAUUCCGGCUUUUAAUUAAAAACAGCCUAUAAUCGAAAACGUCUCGGCGUCCCUGGCUCCCCCGCCGCCUGCCGGGAACCGAGAAGGGAACCGACGCCCCUCGGCCCGGCUGGGAGGGCUGGAGCGGGGCUGGGAACUCAGGUGGGCGCCCGGGGCGCAGUGGCCUGCCCCCACCCCUCCCGGGGCGCCCCCAUCUCGCCGGCCCCGGUCCCCGAUUCCGUUCUCGGCGGCCGGGAAACUGCGGGGAUGCCCCGGCGCCCCCGGAGGGGGAGGCGGGAUCGGGGACGAGCUGGAGAAGUUUGGAGACCAUCGCGCCCGGCCAGGGAUGGGAGGGCGGCCCGGCGGCGUACCUGGCGCGGCGGGGCUCCCGGCUCCGGGCUCCGGCGACGGCGACUCCGGUGGCGGCCCCGGCUCCCGGCGCGGUUAGGCGCCCGUGCUGCCCGCCAUCCCGCGGCCGCUGCUCCCCUUCGCCACCCGCAGCCGCCUCACACUUUUUGCCCGCCUUUCCUUUUUUUGGUAGAAAACCGCUCCCCGGGCCGAGCGCUCGGCGCGCCAACUCCUCCGCCCUCCCGCGGCCGGGCUCCCGCAGCCCCCGGAAAAGCCAGCUUUCCUCCCGCCGAGCUCCCCGCUUUUUAAUAAAAUCCAGGUAGCGCCGGUUUAAAGAAUCCCAAAUCUCCAUAUACAGCCCGGGAUUGGAAAAGGUACAUUACACACACCCCCCUUUCAAGUUCCUCUCGCUGGAUCUAAAAAAAAAAAAAAAAAAGCCAGCGGGGGGGGGAGGGGGCGGCUGGGGGAGGGGAGUACUCUCCGGCGAUGAAACACGCAUUGUUCCCGGGCGCCCGCCUCCCCCCGGGCCGGCCCCCGGCCCCCGCCCAUUGGCCGCGCGCGCCGCCAAUCACGCGCAUGUAAACACCUUGGCCCUCAGCCAUUCCUAUAAAACCAAUUACGGACCAAGGGGCUCCAGCAGUUUCCAGGCUCCCCUCGGCGGGGCUGAAUGAUCAAAACUGGUGCACAGGAAUUAUUCAAGGCUGGUUUCGGUUCUCUUCUGGCGACGACCGCAUCUUCGUACUCAAGGCACAGAUUACGGGUCAGCUCAAUUCGCCAGCGGCCGGAGGCUGCCUCCAAGCACCGAGCAGGACGGGAGGGAUGCUCUGCAAGCCGCGUCCGGCUGGAGGCGGCGGAGGCCUGAACGGGUCAUGGUCCCCGAAGUCACUAGGGACAGGGGACGUGGAUGGAAUAUAAGAGGGGAGAUCGACAGUCAAUCCCACCUCUGUCCCUUUCCGCCUGUGACCCCGGUCAGCUCAGUCUUCUCAUCUGUGACAUGGGCGUUGACACGAGUGUUCAGCAUGGGAACCCACCCCCGUCGUCUUCCACUGGUGCUGUCACCCGCGGCCUGGCUGAGCCGGGCACAGUGGGAGCCUCUGCAGGGCCCAGGGAAGGGGCAUGGCGGUGCCGAAGGACACGAGAAAUGGAAAGAGAGGGUUCAGCCACUCUGGCCUCCCAGGGGCGGCGAUGUGAGAACACGGCCCCAAGAUCCUUUGACGCUCCUCCUGUGGAAAGGUGGGGUUCCCGUUCCCUCCCCUUGAUGCUGGCCUCCAUGGCAGAAGGUGACGGAGUCGACAGUCCUCCCAGAACUGCCAGCUCCUGCUUUUUGCCUCUUGGGUGCUCCCUCUUGGAACCCAGCCGCCAUGCUGCGAGGAAGCCCAGAGGUCCCGAGGACAGGCCCGCGUGGAAGGCCCGGUUGUGCGUGUGUGUGUGUGUGUGUGAGCUCCUCAGAAAAGGGCAUCCAGCCCCAGUAGGUGCCCCAGCAGACGCCACGUGGAGCGGGGGUGAGCUGACCCUGCCAAGAUCGGCCCAAAUUGCAGAUUCACAAGCAAAUAAAUAAUUGUCGUCAUUGUGAGCCAGGAGCAUUGGGGUGGUGUGUUACACGGCAAUAGGUGACUAAAACGCAAGGUUCAGCUGAAAAGAGUUUCUGAGAACAUGCUUCAGGGACCUCCCAUGGGAGGUCCAGCAGUCACACGCACGUCCCAAACCUGCCCCCAUGAGCACCACUGCAGUGGUAGCUGGUACAUUUUCUUUUCUUUUUUUUAAAGUUAAUUUAAUUGCUUUUUUCUUUUGAAGAAGAAGAUUAGCCCUGAGCUAACAUCUGCUGCCAAUCCUCCUCUUUUUUUUUUGCUGAAGAAGACUGGUUCCGAGCUAACAUCCAUGCCCACCUUCCUCUACUUUAUAUGUAGGGUGCCUGCCACAGCAUGGCGUGCCAAGCAGUGCCAUGUCUGCACCCGGGAUCCCAACCGGCAAACCCCGGGCCGCCGAAGGGAACGUGCACACUUAACCGCUGUGCCACCGGGCGGGCCCAGCUGGUGAAUUUUCAACAACAGGUUCUCGGGGGUGGACGGGAGGGAAGCCCUGAUUUGUAGCAUCCACCGGUCUCUGUGGUGUAAAUAGUCCCGCCUUCGAGCUGCCACUGGACGCAGAGUUGGGAAGGGCCGGGCAGUGACGCGCCAUCAUAUACUAUUUCUACUGUACGGAUACAAUCAACAUAAACAGCCUCGAAAGCGUAGACGAGACUAAACUGUGGGAAAAUAAUUCGGAAAUGCAUGGCUUGACGAGCGGUGCCAUGUCCAUGCCCAGGAUCUGAACCGGCGAACCCUGGGCUGCCGAUGUGGAACGUGCGCACGUGACCUCUGCGCCACGGGGCCGGCCCCUCACCCCAGCCUUUGAGUCAUCCCAGGCCAUCGCGAACCAUACGGCUGGCGCGGCCGCUGGAGGCACACGGGCACACACCGAUGUCCCUGCCCUCGGGGAGCCCCCAGCUCGGGGGAGACAGAGCUGAAGCAGAUGCUAUGGGGAUGAUACGGAGAAGGCCAGCCGGUCCUCGGGGUCUGCA